rnacentral:rRNA from 1 species
GAUGAACGCUGGCGGCGUGCCUAAUACAUGCAAGUCGAGCGAACAGACGAGGAGCUUGCUCCUCUGACGUUAGCGGCGGACGGGUGAGUAACACGUGGAUAACCUACCUAUAAGACUGGGAUAACUUCGGGAAACCGGAGCUAAUACCGGAUAAUAUAUUGAACCGCAUGGUUCAAUAGUGAAAGACGGUUUUGCUGUCACUUAUAGAUGGAUCCGCGGCGCAUUAGCUAGUUGGUAAGGUAACGGCUUACCAGGGCAACGAUGCGUAGCCGACCUGAGAGGGUGAUCGGCCACACUGGAACUGAGACACGGUCCAGACUCCUACGGGAGGCAGCAGUAGGGAAUCUUCCGCAAUGGGCGAAAGCUUGACGGAGCAACGCCGCGUGAGUGAUGAAGGUCUUCGGAUCGUAAAACUCUGUUAUUAGGGAAGAACAAAUGUGUAAGUAACUAUGCACGUCUUGACGGUACCUAAUCAGAAAGCCACGGCUAACUACGUG